rnacentral:rRNA from 1 species
UGCAAGUCGAACGGUGAAAGAGGAGCUUGCUCCUCUGGAUCAGUGGCGAACGGGUGAGUAACACGUGAGUAACCUGCCCUUGACUCUGGGAUAAGCACUGGAAACGGUGUCUAAUACCGGAUACGAGCUUCAGCCGCAUGGCUAGGAGCUGGAAAGAAUUUCGGUCAAGGAUGGACUCGCGGCCUAUCAGCUAGUUGGUGAGGUAAUGGCUCACCAAGGCGACGACGGGUAGCCGGCCUGAGAGGGUGACCGGCCACACUGGGACUGAGACACGGCCCAGACUCCUACGGGAGGCAGCAGUGGGGAAUAUUGCACAAUGGGCGCAAGCCUGAUGCAGCAACGCCGCGUGAGGGACGACGGCCUUCGGGUUGUAAACCUCUUUUAGUAGGGAAGAAGCGAAAGUGACGGUACCUGCAGAAAAAGCACCGGCUAACUACGUGCCAGCAGCCGCGGUAAUACGUAGGGUGCAAGCGUUAUCCGGAAUUAUUGGGCGUAAAGAGCUCGUAGGCGGUUUGUCGCGUCUGCUGUGAAAACUGGAGGCUCAACCUCCAGCCUGCAGUGGGUACGGGCAGACUAGAGUGCGGUAGGGGAGAUUGGAAUUCCUGGUGUAGCGGUGGAAUGCGCAGAUAUCAGGAGGAACACCGAUGGCGAAGGCAGAUCUCUGGGCCGUAACUGACGCUGAGGAGCGAAAGCAUGGGGAGCGAACAGGAUUAGAUACCCUGGUAGUCCAUGCCGUAAACGUUGGGAACUAGAUGUAGGGGCCAUUCCACGGCUUCUGUGUCGCAGCUAACGCAUUAAGUUCCCCGCCUGGGGAGUACGGCCGCAAGGCUAAAACUCAAAGGAAUUGACG